rnacentral:rRNA from 1 species
UACCCCAGCUGCUCCGACCUCUUUCACCACAAGCGCGACUUGCCCGCCGCCAUGCUCCACCGGCCGCGGCUGCACGUGGGGCCCUGGUGCGACGAGCUCAAGUAGGCCUGGGCCUGCGGGAAGUGGCCGUGGUUCGAGCCGACGCCGCUUCCACCUACACCUCGAACACACCAGGAGUAUCGUUGAAUGUUAGGUUGUUUUCUACUUCAGUGACUUAAGAGGCGUUCAAGUACGGACUGAGACGAGAUGUUGUAUUUAGAGACGAGUCAGUAGUGGUGGCUUCCGGACCCUUUAUGGUUUCUACCAAAGGUAAGGUAGGUCUUCUCCUACCGACCCAAGGUACGAAGGGUCACACCGAAGACGUGAGGACCGUACACGUACAGAUAAAAGUGGAGAGAACGGUUACGGCUGUUUAGGUUCUUCGGACUCGGUGUCUUUCCCAAGAGUUUCAACUGCCACAGGCUUCGUCUUUCCCGCAAGAGUCCGUUGUACACAUCUACAUGGCCAAUGUCCGGUUAACAGCUGCGGACGUUUUCAAAACGAAGUCUACAACUGGACCUCCUAAACCCGGAGUUACAUAAGACCUUCUUUCCGCUAUUCGUGCGGCUGCAAUCGUUCAACGGUCGAAUGUGAGAACCACCACCUCAGACGUGAAAGGGCCUGAAGGACUUUAGGCUCUAUUUUAGAAGUGAAGUAGUAGAUUUACUACUAAGCCUACAAUGCUAGAGGUCCCUCCCAACCAUAGUAGGAUUUUCGUAGCUCGUUAUAAUACUAAACGACUUGAGACCGAACAAGUCACUGACGGGUCAAUUUCACCAACAGCGCUUGUGUUCAAGACCACACUUCCCUAUGUUCCUAGUCCUAGAUAUACUGUUCAUAUAACUGUAGCCACUGUAAGGUCUCGAAAGUCGAUAAACCUUCUUUCUGCCACCGUAACUUUAACCUCGUCGAUGUGGUUAAAGAUUCUGGUAGCUCUAUGAACUCGUUCUUCGGCCCAGAUUUAGUAGAGGUUUACCUUCACAUCAAAAGUCUUUUGAGCGGCUCGUGUACUCGUUCCAUCGGUGUGGCAAACAGGCAUUGUGUCGUUCGUAACCACCCUUGUAUUAAGAUCGUGUCUUUAUGGGAAAAGGGAGCCUGUAGCGCUGGUAUGAAGAGCCACGACGAAGUUGACAAGCAGAAGUCCAAAUAAGUGUUUGUGAUCUCCAAUGAAAGCUUCUCAAAGACCUCGUCGGAGGAUCACUGGGGUCAUGUAACGAGGACUCGUAUAAAUAAGGUGUAACCCGAAGUCUAAGAGUCUUUCUUUCAUUCCACUAGAAGCUUUGAAUGGCUCGUCGCGGCGCGGGAGAACCGUUACGCCAAAGUAUAUAAUUGAGACGUUACGACCCGGUACAGAGGGUCUUUAGCAGACCACUAGAACACGACUCAUUGGAUGCGUACCGGAAACCACGGAUACCCUGCCUUGUACGAUAAUCUCGUUGUUUUCAACUUGUUGUGGACUUGCCUUUUCACGAGCGAGGUAGACAACACGAGCUUCGUCAAGUCAAUGAAUCUCUUUGUCAACAUGGUUACCUUCCUUGUAGUGUACGACUUAUGUCUCAGUCACACCGACAACGUAAAGAGAAGUCAAAGGACAGAGGUAAACGAUUUCCUUAGUUUCCCGGACCUUUUUUAGGUUCGUAACCAAGACGAUCAAGAAGUCUAUGUCUACUAGGGACAUUGGAAGGUAACAGAAGUGCAGCUCUGUGUCAAAGGUCACCACUAGUAUUUGGUCAACCGCUCGGCUAAUUUUUCAUACGUCAACUCGAAGUUCGAAGACCCCUCCGUCAUAUACAUCUACUAUAAGGACGAGGUUUUUUAACGGAGAUACCUCUCAAAUAAAUGUCGUGUGUCGGAGAACGUAUACAGUUCUUAUAGUUUAAGUUCGGAAGAAAUCGUAGUCUCUUCCAGGAGUGUCAACAAAGGCGCUUCCUAUAAGGUUCACCUCCCGUUUUAUAACCUAGUUCGAAGUACAAACCCCUGCUUGGUGAAAAACCAAGAGGUCAACGACUCAUACGACCUGUUCGAGAACCACAGCACUAACGUCUCUGAGUCUCUAUACGGUUGAACCGUCCGUUUGUCCAGCAACAACUUAUACUGUGUUUUCUAAACUUCGGCGGGUAGAAUUGACAUCUUGUCCGUCAUGUCUUGUUAUCAAUAAAGCUUCAAGGAGGACCCUUCAUAGGUUUUGUUCAACCACUAAAGAGCUUCCCGUACCGUCUUCGACUAGUGUUCUAGGAGAGUUGUCUUCACUUUGAACGGAGAGUCAUGAUGAAGAUGUACCUUUGUGUUUGUCGUGACCGCUAAGGUCUACUUCUAUUGUGAUAACACCAGAUGUCAAGUAGUGUUAUGGGACUCGAACGUGUCUUACAGUAUCGCUCCACGGAGCCGUAAGGUAAGUCGUUACACGCACAAUAAUGUUCUUCCCAACCUCCUCCGAAACCGCCCUUCCGUAAGUCUAGUAAGUGACAUCGUUGCCGUCGACGUGAAACACGGAAGUUCAAUGUAGCAGGUCACGCCUACAUAGAGUUGGCGUCAUGACUGUACUAGUACUAGCCACCAGCCGUGGGGUAUUUUCGUAUAAUGUGACAACCAAAGUUCAGGUUACCCUCUUAGUGUCGGAACGUGGACCUGUAAGAGUAGUUGCGACCCUAAAGAGGUCUACGCUCGGGGGAUUACGGACUGUGAUACUACAGUCCGGACUUCUUUAUGUUGACCCCACGAGAGAGCAAACUGUAGUUCCAGACAUUCUGUUUGUUGUGUAGGUUCAGUCAUUACGCACGAGGACCUCUAUGCGUUCCGAGAAAAUAACGACUUCGGUAGUAGCUCGUACAGCGAAGUCACGACAGCGAACUACGAUUAUAACAGUCCGUCUUCUUAAAGGUGUGGAUACUGUCAGAACACGACAAGAUAGGUCUUUCGCGUCCGCUUCGUAGCUGCAUGUGUAACGUAAGAUAAAAGUUAUCUAAUGAGUGCUGCAGUUCGAUGCACGUAGCUCGACUUAGGUAGUUCGUAAAAUUGUUGGCGUUGUUCACCGCCUUCUCCCCAUAGAGAACACGCGGGGAGUAGAAGUUCCACCGUGGUUCCGGUCGAGGACCUUCUCAAAGACACGAGUUGCUACCAAGGUAACACCAACUCCAACCUCCACAACUCCAACCCGUCCCUGACACCUGGUUUCAUGUCGUCUACUGCCAAAAGCGCAACCCUGUCAAUACCGGACUACCUAGACUUACGGAAGAACUAUCUCACGCAGAAGAAGUCCGACUGUGCGACUUGAACUAGGUUCCAUCUGAGUGACGACCGUCGUGAAGCAGACUUAGAUCGACACGUCGUUGGGAACUCCGGACGUUGUACGACCAACUGUCUAAUUUCGGUCAGUACUUCUUCGAGUUCGUCGUUAGGCGACCACGACAAAGUACCCUACGAAACUAACGAGUCCCGGUAAUUCCUAUUACAAUUAAACAGGAGUUCACGUAUGACCCAUGGACCGGUUCUUAGGUCGUGGAUAGACUUGAUACCUCGACGAUAUUCACUCCAUCUCUAACUACAAGAAUGUCCUCGAUAAUGAAAUGAAGCCUCGCUGGAACACAUACUGACACCUUUCUCGAACUUGGGACGUCACCUGAACCCGGUCUAACUUCCCAGGAAGUAUGUUCCUUAACCAAAGAAGUAUUUGCUUCUUGUGCUUUGUUUACGGCUACCUGACCAACACUCACUGUCGUGUACCCAGAUGUUCUAGGGCUCGCACCUGUGGUAGGGCUUCGUCAAGUUGCGACUCCACGAGUCGUGACCCAUGGUAUUCUUGGCGCAAGAAAGUAGUUUCCGGAGACCCCUUGGACGGCACCAAGAACGUCGUAGGCAGGUAACACGUCACUCUCUUCGGUAGGCUCGCCGCUCCUUCCUCAAACCUUCGAGUGUCGAUUGCAAGGUUGAGCUGCAGGGACGUGGCUACUGGGUGCACUUCCUUUACACACCAAACCUGUAGCAGCUGUUCAUGAACCUUUCGGAUAGACGUGUAGUCAGAGCUCGAAGACGCACUACGUUCUUACCCCAUGACAGUUGGCCUUCCUCACCACACCAAACAAGCACAACACAUUGGAACUUACCAUGACAUUUAACGUAUGUACUACAAGCUUUACAAACAUUCUAAGUCACGACACGAACCUGUCAAAGCGUUAUUAAUACCCAACCCUAA